rnacentral:rRNA from 1 species
AAGAUUGAACUGAAGAGUUUGAUCAUGGCUCAGAUUGAACGCUGGCGGCAGGCCUAACACAUGCAAGUCGAGCGCGAAAGUCCUUCGGGGCAAGUAGAGCGGCGGACGGGUGAGUAAUGCUUGGGAAUCUACCUAGUAGUGGGGGAUAACGUGUGGAAACGCACGCUAAUACCGCGUACGUCCUACGG